rnacentral:rRNA from 1 species
CCCUUAGAUGUCAGGGGCCGCACGCGCGCUACACUGAAGGAAUCAGCGUGGCUUUCUCCCUGACCCGAAAGGGUUGGGAAACCCGUUGAAUCUCCUUCGUGAUAGGGAUUGGGGCUUGAAAUUGUUCCCCAUGAACGAGGAAUUCCCAGUAAGCGCGAGUCAUAAGCUCGCGUUGAUUACGUCCCUGCCCUUUGUACACACCGCCCGUCGCUACUACCGAUUGAACGGUUUAGUGAGGGCCUCGGAUUGGUCUCGGCCCGCUCUUUACCGGGCGGCGCCGUUGGUCGAGAAGACGCUCGAACUUGAUCGUUUAGAGGAAGUAAAAGUCGUAACA